rnacentral:rRNA from 1 species
AUGUCUAGCAAAUACUAAGUAUGAAAAUGUUGGUUAAAAUCGACUUCCUUUAUCUCGGAAGCUAAGCAGGGUCGGGCCUGGUUAGUACUUGGAUGGGAGACCACCUAGGAAGACCAGGUGCUGCAGGUG